UCACUGGAGCCCAGGUGUUUGAAUCCAGACUGGGCAACAUAGUAAGACCCCAUCUCAGAAAAAUGUUAUUAAAGAAAAAAGCUCAGUUGCUAACAGUUUGGUGGUUCUUCAAAAACCUAAACAUAGAAUUACCAUAUGACAUAACAGUUCCUUUCCUAGGUAUAUACUCAAAAAAAUUAAAGACAGGGACUCAAACAGAUAGCAAAGCAAUAAUGUUGAUUGUAGUGAAAAGGUCUUAACAACCCCAUUGUCCAGCACUGUUUGAGUGGGUAAACAAAAUGUGGUAUAUAAAACACACAGUGGAAUACCAUUCAACCAGAAAAAGGAAUGAAGCUCUGAUAUAUAGUACAACAUAGAAGGACCUUGACAACAUGCUGAGUGAAACAGGCCAGUUACCAGAGGGCAAGUAUUAAAUGAUUUCACUUAUAUGAAAUGUCAACAAUAGGCGAAUUCAUAGAGAUAGAAAGUAGAUUAAAGAUUGUCAGAGUUUGGGAUUGGUAGGUGUUAUUGCUAAAUGGUUACAGAGUUUCUGUUUGAAGUGCUGGAAAAGUUUUGGCGACAGAUAGUGGUGAUAAUGAACCCCACUGAAUUGUAUACUUAAAUGUGGUUAAUGUAAAUUUUAUUAUAUCUAUUUUACCACAGUUUAAAAAAGCUCAGUUUCUAGAAAAAAUUUACCUCUUAAGUGUUGCCGUUCUGUGUAGCUAGUAGUUUAUAAAAUUUUGUAUAUACAUUUUGCAUAAAUAGCUAAAAUGUAGGGAUUACAAAAACCUCCUUCAGUUAUAUUGCUGUUGGUUUGUUACGUAUUUUCCUUAAUGAUGGUCCAUGUUGCUUUUGGAGAAGAGAAUAUUGAACCAUUGGUUGAGUUUGUAAUGUCUAAAGUUAAGCCAGAGUUCUGGUGCUGUUAAAAUCUAGGAGUUAAAACUCUGAUCAUGGCAUGGUGGUUCAUGCAUGUAAUCCCACCUACUCAGGAGGGUGAGGCAGGAGAAUCGCUGGAACCCAGGAGGCAGAGGUUGCAGUGAGCUGAGAUUGCGCCAUUGCACUCCAGCCUGGCGACAGAGCAAGACUCCAUCUCAAGAAACAAACCAACAAAGAAUAAAAACCUCUGAUUAAGAUGUAUAGAUUUUCCAAUUCUUCCUUUUUGUGCUUUUCCAAUUUCCUUUUUCUAAGUUGAAUUGUUAGCCUCUUAAUUUGCUAAAAAAAAUCAAAUCAAAUUGAGUUUUGGUAUUCUUCUGUGGCUCUUUUCUAGUGGACUAAUGAUCUUUCCAAAAUUAGUGAAAACAGGCCUGGCUUGGUGGCUCAUGCCUAUAAUCCGAGCACUUUGUGAGGCCGAGGAGGGAAGAUUGCUGAGCCUAGCCUGGGCACCAUGGUAAAACUCUGUCUCUACAAAUAAUACAAAAAUUAGCCAGGCCUGGUGGCAUGUGCCAGUAGUCCCAGCUACUCGAGGGGGGUGGGAGUAUUGCUUGAGCCAGGGAGGUUGAGGCUGGAGUGAGCCCUGAUUGCAUCACUCCAAGCCUAAGACAGUGAGACCCUUUCCCAAAACAACCACAACAAA